rnacentral:rRNA from 1 species
CCUACGGGGGGCAGCAGUGAGGAAUAUUGGUCAAUGGACGAGAGUCUGAACCAGCCAAGUAGCGUGAAGGAUGACUGCCCUAUGGGUUGUAAACUUCUUUUAUAUGGGAAUAAAACGUUCCACGUGUGGGAUUUUGUAUGUACCAUAUGAAUAAGGAUCGGCUAACUCCGUGCCAGCAGCCGCGGUAAUACGGAGGAUCCGAGCGUUAUCCGGAUUUAUUGGGUUUAAAGGGAGCGUAGGUGGAUUGUUAAGUCAGUUGUGAAAGUUUGCGGCUCAACCGUAAAAUUGCAGUUGAAACUGGCAGUCUUGAGUACAGUAGAGGUGGGCGGAAUUCGUGGUGUAGCGGUGAAAUGCUUAGAUAUCACGAAGAACUCCGAUUGCGAAGGCAGUUCACUGGACUGCAACUGACACUGAGGCUCGAAAGUGUGGGUAUCAAACAGGAGUAGAUACCCGAGUAGUC